rnacentral:rRNA from 1 species
ACUCAAAGGAAUUGACGGGGGCUCACACAAGCGGUGGAGCAUGUGGUUCAAUUCGAGGCAACGCGAAGAACCUUACCUGGGCUUGACAGCCGCGGAUUAACCCUUGGAAACAGGGGCCACGCCUUCGGGUGGAACGCGGUACAGGUGCUGCAUGGCUGUCGUCAGCUCGUGCUGUGAAGUGUCGGGUUAAGUCCCACAACGAGCGAAACCCCUGUCGUCAGUUGCUAACGGGUUAUGCCGAGGACUCUGACGAGACUGCCGGCGUCAAGCCGGAGGAAGGUGGGGAUGACGUCAAGUCAUCAUGGCCUUUAUGCCCAGGGCCACACACGUGCUACAAUGCCGUAUACAGACCGACGCGAAGCUGCGAAGCGGAGCCAAUCGGAAAAAAUACGGCCCAGUUCGGAUUGUGGGCUGCAAUUCGCCCACAUGAAGCCGGAAUCGCUAGUAAUCGCGGAUCAGCCAUGCCGCGGUGAAUGUGUUCCUGAGCCUUGUACACACCGCCCGU